rnacentral:tRNA from 1 species
GGUAGAAUUAAUUUAAUUGGCAAAAUGGCCUUUUGUGGUGAGGCUUUUUACGGUUCAAGUCCGUAAUUUUACC